rnacentral:rRNA from 1 species
AUACGUAGGGGGCGAGCGUUGUCCGGAAUGAUUGGGCGUAAAGGGCGCGUAGGCGGCGCGGUAAGUCUGGAGUGAAAGUCCUGCUUUCAAGGUGGGAAUUGCUUUGGAUACUGCCGCGCUUGAGUGCAGGAGAGGUUAUCGGAAUUCCCGGUGUAGCGGUGAAAUGCGUAGAGAUCGGGAGGAACACCAGUGGCGAAGGCGGGUAACUGGACUGCAACUGACGCUGAGGCGCGAAAGUGUGGGGAGCAAACAGGAUUAGAUACCCUGGUAGUCCACACUGUAAACGAUGAAUGCUAGGUGUAAGAGGUAUCGACCCCUUUUGCGCCGGAGUCAACACAAUAAGCAUUCCGCCUGGGGAGUACGGCCGCAAGGUUGAAACUCAAAUGAAUCGACGGGG